UUAAUUUAUAAUUACACAAUAAUUUAUUUUAUUAUUAAAUUUUAUUAAAUUAAAAAGAUAUAUGAAUUUUAAAGAAAGUUAAUAGGUUCUUAAUGAAUAAAAAUUUAGUUCUCAGUAUUAAAUAUUAAAAAUUAAGGAAAUUUAGAUUUGAUUAUUAAUUUAAAUAUAGACUAAAUAUGUGCCAGCAGUUGCGGUUAAACAUAAUAUAUAAAUAAAAUAGUUCGGUAAAUAGUAUAAAAAUAAAUUAAAUAAAUUAAUUUAUUAUUUAAGGUAAAAUUUUUUUAAUAAUUAAGUUUAUAAUUAUUUUAUUCUAAAAAAUUUUAGUUAAAACUAGGAUUAGAUACCCUAUUAUAAAAAUAUAAUUUAAAUUUACUAAAAAAUUAUUAGUUAAGUUCUUUAAAUUUAAAAAAUUUGGCGGUAUUUUAGUCUUAUUAGAGGAACCUGUUAAAUAAUUGAUAAUCCACGAUUAAUUUUACUUAAUUGAAUAAAUUUAUAUAUCGCUGUCAAGAAUAUAUUUAAAAAUUUAAUUUCUUUAAUUAAUUUUAUAAUUUAUGUUAAGUCAAGAUGUAGUUUAUAAAUAAGUUUUUAAAUGGGUUACAAUAAAUUAAAUUUAUGGAUUUGAAAUGAAAAUUAAAAUAAAAUUGGAUUUAAAAGUAAAUUUAUUUAUUUAAAUAAAAUGAAUAGAGAUCUAAAAUAUGUACAUAUUGCCCGUCAUUCUUAUUAAAAAUAAGACAAGUCGUAACAAAGUAAAUGUACUGGAAAGUGUAUUUAGAAAGA
rnacentral:ncRNA from 1 species